UACGGCUAUAUCUCGUUGAAACACCGGUUCUCGUACGAUCACCGAAGUUAAGCAACGUUGAUCCUGGUCAGUACCUAGAUGUCUGACCGCUUGGGAAUAUCACGUGCUGUAAG